AAAUAAGAAGUAAAGCAUUACAUUUAGUUUCGACCUAAAAUCAUGGUGAAGUAAACCACCCUUAUUUA
rnacentral:tRNA from 1 species